GCAGAUCAUGAUUGAGUCCUGAGUGACCGUGAGAACAUUCUGUAUGCAUUGGACAUUUGUGUACUGUCAAAGUAGGGGAGUUCAAGUAGGCAAGUAUAUCUAAUUCCACUUUCUCUUUCAAUCUUAAUUUGAGCGGUAUACCAAUCUUCUGCUUUAACUCGGUGUUCCCGUACUGUUCUAUCUGUCCACAGACAAAAUUAGAAUAAUCAGCUGUAGGAAAUGAUAACAAACACUUUAAACAGCCCACAAACCCACAGACCUUCCGACCAGCAGGUAUAUCACAACAGCAGCAUAUAAGGGCACUGAUUGAUUGUUUGUUAUGAUCUUUUAAGAUUACACCAGCUCCAACGAUACGAAUUCAUUAGCAGAGGUGGCCCAGGCAUAACACAACUAACAUGAUAUUGUCUUGCAAAUAACGAAGCAAUAUAGUGUGCUUAACCCUUUCCCAUUUCCCAGCUGAAGCCGUCUUUUUCCGGCCGCACUACUGAAAAAUUGUUGUCCACUGGAGCUAUGCACACGCUGUAGGUACGCACAUGCGCAUUGAGCUGCUCUUUUACAUGGUAUAUUUAAUAUCUUGCCUCGAGGUACGCAGUACUGCUCAAAGAAAAUGUGACUAAUCGAUAAUGGCUUCGAGAUAUUCUUAGUACAACCUCAGUGAGGUUCUAGGGCAGCUAGACAGUGAGGAGAACGAUGCUUAUGGCCUUGUUGAGUGAGAGGACAGUGACUGGCUAGACAAGAAACUACCUCAAGCUAGAAGGUAAAUAUCAACUGUCAACUGUUUCGCUCUUGAUCUUCUUGAAAGUCCAUCUCAAGUUCUCAAUAUCACUUCUCCAAAUAGCUCUUACCGUUUCACCUAUUCCACUCGCAUCACAUUCUGCUUAGGAUUUUUCUAUGCUCCAUCUGAGCUCAGCUAAUUUGACACAUUUCAUUGUGUUGCUCAUCAUCAAGGCUAACUUCUAAAUCCGCACAUUAAUUUUACGAGCCAGUUUUUUAUCAACAUUUCUCUCUAUUUGCAUAUUUUCCCUCUUUCGUUUCAUACUUUGCGGCGACAAAUAUUUUUCCGGGAAAUGCGAAGAUGGUUUUAAAUGAAUGUUGAUUCUCAAUAGAUACAGAUUUAUACGCUGGUCUAAGUCAGAUCUCAGUUGUUUGCAUGCACUGCACAUAACUUCUUCUUCCAUAUUUAAUUUAACAAGUGCAGGGGCGUAGCCAGACUUUUGAGACAACUUUUGAGACAGGGGCUUCUGUAGAAAAAUCAGCGGCGCAAUAGCGCCGCGAAAUUUUUGAGGCCACGCCCACUUCCGGUACCACACCCUCUUGAUUGGGGCACACCUACUGUUAUUGACUAUUGUUCAUGACUUUUUUACAUGUUUGUGAGAAGCUAGCUAGCUAUAGACGUAACAUACUAGGCAUGCAGGUACCAAUUGUGUAUUGCUAGUCUAGCUGAGCAACAAUUAAAUGUCAUUUACCUGAGAGGUUUCAUGUGGCUGAGAUUGUUCUAAACUUGUACUUGUACACUUCCUGAAUAAAGUUGUGCUUAGAGCUGAGUCUGAGAAUACUGAGAAUACUGGAGCAUUCAGGAUUGAUACUAGAUCUAGAACUUAAGUCUUGGUCUUCUUUGUUUGAGGUAGCUAGCUAGCUGAGACUAACUAGCUGAGACAAAGCCAAAGUGAAACGCUUCACGGUGCUGCUCUGAUUAUUGAUUUGCAGCCACGUGUGAAAAGAUGGGCAGGGCUGCAUGAUUUCAAUUAUAGGGAGCCCUGCCCAAUUUUCUCAGCAGCUCCUGGGGGGGUUUCUGGGCAACCAGGAAACAAUGGUAGCUACGCCCCUGAAGUGCCAAGUAGGCAGUUCAUUGGGUGGCUUGUCCUCCUAACAUUUCUGGGAUGAUAACGAAUUAGUUCAUAGUAUUUUUUAUUGUAUGUUAUCCUGGGCAAAACUUAUAGUCGCUUUCUGCAGAAAUAGUUUUAAGAAUAUCGUCAUCACGGGAAACCAAUCCUUUCUCCUUGCUGUACAUAACUUGAAAGUUAUAGGUUCCAUCUUCUUUGACAAGUAUAUUUACUCGACUUACAGCUCCAAUUGGAGGGUGCUGGUACAGUUUUUUAGUAGAGGAGCCGUGCCAGCUUCUUCUACUACAGGUACUAAUUGCAACCGCUUUCUACUUUCUAAUUCUGCACUCUGCAUAGCUAGCUAGCGUACGUAGCUAAACUGCACCAACAUGCGCGUAGCGUAGUCAUACAGCGUCACGCAGCUCACGCGCAUGUCACGUUACUUUCCACAACUCUUGAUACUAUAAUAUAUUUACCAUCUGAGUGGUUGCUAAAAUGGAUUUGAAAAUGAAAAUUGAACAGACUCAAAAACUCAACGGAUAUAUAGUAUAAUUAUAGUCCAUGCAUUAUAGUUCGGUAUCAUUAUACUUAUUAGAAAUGCUGCAGUAGGAUGUGUAUGGUCAAAAAGACGUAAAAUGUAUUCUUUUCCGUGUAGCUUGUGAUCUUGUGGAUGCACUCCGCUGUUCAUGGGUGAUGCAUUUCCUGGUUGGAUUAUUCUGGAUUCAACAGAACUAAUUCUGAUCACCGAACAAUAAGGUGGAAAUAUACCCAGAUAUCGAAGACCAAGUAAAAAGAAUGAUUAAGGGAGUUAGCCAUGACUAAAGGAAUGGGAAUGUGAAAUUAACUUAUUCUUGACAGAAGUGAGCCCAUGAUCCAUAUCCGACUGACAUUAAUCAAUCAAUCAUCGAUAUUAAAAAAUUAUGUUCAAGCAAUCUAUCGGACAAAUCAGCAAAGCAACCACGUUCAGCCAACGCUUUGAAGACUUUACGUACAUGUCACUGUACGGGGACUGCUUACUGUCAAGUACUGAGCUUCUGGUAUGUCGUAUCUCUUUGCAUUUGACAUACUUUAUGCUACUUCCUCAUAAGGAACACGUACUAAUUCCAGGUAUGCUUCGGGCAAAUGUCAAAACAAAGUAUUUCGGAUCAAGCUUGUGAGUGUACUUUGCCAAAGUACAAGGAAAAUUAACUAUGUAGUCGAUUUUGCCAGAAUUCGCUCUUCUGGGUUCCUUUCAUGAAAAACGUGUAUUAUAUUAUAACGUGUAUUAUAUUAUAUAUAAUGCAACCCGUGGUAUUCAUUGGUCGUGGUCUGUUCAGCAGUCUUCGCCUCUGGGAGGCAGUAAAAAUUGCGGAAAAAUUGCGGCUAUAUAAUUUAUACUUUAUACUACAGGUACAUGUUUGCUCACUCAUGUCAUACGCUCGUCAAGCAGCUGAUGCACCAGAAGGUCGCCUUUUUAUCUCGGACCCACCCCCACCUCAAAGACUGCAAAUUGCACAGGAAAACUUGGCGUGUUAGACGGACAAUCCAUUGGUGUGCCGGCACCCAUGAGUUGACUGGGUAGGCGGAGACAUCCUGAUGAUAACACCACUAGACCUAUAAAACAAUAAAUGUAAAAAGUAAUGCUGUGUCCGCUCAUGAGGGGGGUGCGAACGCAUACUUCGUACGUUCUUUGUUGUUCCUGCCGUAUCGAGUAGGAGGUCCUGAUACAGUAGGUCCUGAUACAUCAUCAAGUGUGACGCCCACAACUUCUGCUGCAUUGGCAAUCAUCUUGAGUUGUUUGUGCAUUAUUGUCAGGCGAUGUGGUUGGUACCUACAAUGGUACCUUGAUAAACAGAAUAAGCGCUUCUUACGCCAAGUACGUACUUUGCUGACGGUUGCUGACAUGAGUGGUACUGACAUGAGUGGUACUGUUUUUCAGUCGUUGAGUUUGCUCGAGCACCGGAUACUAGUAAAACCUUGCCAAUAGUUGACAAUCAGUGUUUGUCAAUGUAGCUAACAAGCCUUUUGGAGAAUACCCCACGACCUAAUCUGCUAGACAAAGCUAAGCACAUCUUUAAUUGUGAUGAGACGUAACUGAAAAAGGCACCAAGAACCCAUCAUGUGUCAAAUAACUAUUUUAUCUUGUGUCAAUGCUGCGGGGGGACUGCAUUCCUCCAAUGGUAAUCUUCGACCGGAAAAAACUAAAUCCGCAACACUGUCUAAGAGAGGUACUCAUGGUUUGUCCAACAAAGGGUGGAUUGAUACAGCUCUCUUCCAAGACCCUCCUAUAAGACCCUUUUACUCUUAAUGGAUGGUCAUUCCUCACACUACUCUCCAGAAAUGAUCCGUAUAGCAGCAGAUCCGUAUAGCAGGUGUGAUUCUUUUUGUUCUGCCACCCAACACAACGAAUCUCACACAGCCACGGCAUGUUUUUGGCAUUGAAAUCCAACUGAAGCAAGUCUGUCAUGAGUUUAUUACACAAAACCCAGGGCGAGUCAUCAGCCGUUAUGACUUUUCAACACUCUUCCACAAGGCAUGGGAUCUGUCAAUGACAAUCAUCAAUAUCAAGGAAUAACCCCAUUCAAUAGUAGGGCUAUCACAUUACCUGGCGAGGAUAAAUUUGAACGGUUUACUACAUUCCAUUAUACUCCAGUAGUCCAAUUUGUCAGAGGCCAAGUCACCAAGAUGCCAAUGAGGGAAAUCACAGUCCGCUACAUUUCACAGUCCGCUACAUUGUGAUUUGGGAGGUGGAAACGAUUCUGAUGACAGUUUUGCAGAGGAAAAUCCAUGUGCAAAUGCACCAAUAUGCUUACUUUGCCGCAGGAACCCUGUAACAAAGCAUGAUGCAAAGGCGAAGGCAAAGGCGACGGCUAUAGAAAAGAAGCAAUUAAAGAGAGCACAGUCAAAUCAAAAGAAAAAGCAAGGAAAGGAAAAGCAGUCAACAGUAGAGCCAGCGCAAAUGAGUGGAGAACCAAAGGAUGGUGCUUGCAGUGGGCUUAGUGAUACUUAGUGAUAUGUGUAACCGGUUCAACUAAGGAAGAAAGGGACAGAGUACGAGCAGUAGUAGAAUGUCAUGGUGGAGUGUACAGUUCUACCAUGGUCUCAAAUAAGUGCACUCACUUACUGGUGUGGACAAGCACAGGAUGGACGAAGCAAGGGACAAGGCUCCCCUUCUCAUCUUAAUGGUAGUGAGCCGGAUGGACAAAGCGAGGGACAAAGCUCUCCCAAACCAAAUGACUGUGCACUGUUUGCAGCUGCAUAUUGUACCAGCAUUGCACAUGGACUAGAUCCAUGUUCCCUCGUUUACGACCAGCAGCAAAUGAGAGACCACUUGUACAAGUGUUUCACUACAAAAACAAUGGAUCUCUUUACUGUCUUCCGAACAAAAAGACCAGGACCUGCACGCACUUUGAAAAUCCCUGUCUAUUGCUACUGUUGAUGUGCGCCAAGGAAUGGUAGGCUGUGACGGAUGUGAAGAUUGGUAGAUGCAGGGUAUUAUGCAGGUAUUAGAUGCUGGGUAUUAUGCAGGUAUUAACGUGCCAUGGUGGCUGGCCAGAAAGCAGUCCAUAGAGCUCGAAGUACUUUUUAUUGACCAUGAUCAUAUUGCCCAUGCAACCUUCAUUGAUUAAUUAUACUUCUCGUAAUGCAAUAUGAAUCAAUCAUCAAUCAAUAUGAAUCAAUUAAAGUUGUUAUUGUUAUUGCUGUGAUACAUGUUUGCUGACACAUGUAUAUGUACACUCCGUUAAUUAAUCUCUACACAUAAGAAUGUUCAGAUUGAUGGAUGGCUGGCAACACUACGGGGGGGGGGGGGUGGAAGCUCCAGAGGUAUAUUGUGAAAUUUUGCUCUGAUGUGCUGUGAGCCACGAACUGGCAGAGAUGCUCGUCCACUAAGCCUCUCUCUCCGUGGGACACGACGCUCCAUACGCUUGCUGCUGCUAUUCGAGGGCUGGUUGAAAUGUGGUCUCUCAGAUUCGUCGAAACGAUCAUGGUGUGAUGUGAAAUAAAAGUACGGUAACUCUGGAUCAAUCCGUUUUUCAUAUUCGAGACAACACUUCCUCCAUUCAUAUCGAAUCUGUUUCAGAGAAAAGUUUUCACCAACUUGUUCACGUAAGACUGAGAAAAAGCACUCGACAUCAUCUGUCGUACUGGCUUGAGAAUUUUCUGGUGGCAUCGAUUGGCUAAUUAAGGUCCUUUCGUCUCCAUUCUGCAGUCUCACAGUCGGCAAGUAAUUAGUAAAACCAGUAGGUUUUACAUAGGAUUGGCAGUGGGUUUGCCCGUGUUUAGCAAAAUUUCACUUAUUUUGACUCAUGUUCAAACUGUUCUAUCUCUGCAGGGAAAGGCCACAUCAAGAAACUGAAUGGACAGAUAGUUUAUUUAGCCUUUUCUCUCUUUGUAUCUCUCAUUUCAUAAUCCAUUUCAUAAUCCAUGAACGUUUUAAAUGUAUGAAUAUUGUCAUUUUAAAAAUUGCACUAUUUCGACGUUUCACCGCUCUUUGUCUGACUGACUAAGUAAGUAAGUGAGUAAGUGAGUAAGUUUCUUGCCCAGCAUUUGCUCCAAGUACAGCCCUCUCCAGGACAUUCUGCACAGGGUUUCCAAACGACUACAACCUGGAUUACAAAGCGCUUCUUCAGAUUUGCGAUUGCUUCCACGAGGCAGAUGACCUCUCAGUCUCUAUUUCUCUUACCUAGACAAUUCCGCCAUCUUUAAUGACUCAGCAAUUGCAGAUAGGCGUGGCUAAGAAACCGUGCGCCUAAAAUCAGUGCAGUGCUUUUCCAGUUCCAGAGCCUGGAGGUGUCCUGGAGGUGUUGCUUUUCUUCACACUGUUCAGUUCUAGCUCCCUUUCUCUGACAAGCAUGCUAUAUGCAUGCACUGGCUAUAUAUAUUAUGCUCUUAAAAUGGCUGUCAUUAAUUUUAAUACUGAUUCACAAAUUCAACAUAUCAAGCAAUAUUACUCAGUAUAAUUAUUAGUCCAGAGAUAUUCGAGAAGAUAUCUGAUUAGUCCUGUCUUCUCUUCUUGAACUUCUGUACUGCCUCUUGACGUUCCACUUGUAUUGAAAAAGAAAGGGAAUCCGACUAGAAAAACAUUUGCAAUGUGAAAAAUUGCUAGGAUUGGCCAGGGGAACCACAAAAAAGCGUGGAAACAAGAAAUCCGACGAGAGCAUAACUCCAAUCCGUUACAACGUCAUAAACAUGUACAAUACAUAGUAUAUAGACUGUUCCAGAUCCAUCUCUACCAGCUUCAUCCACCACAUCAUUCCAUGCAGGUCACCAGUACGGUCCGUGCAUGUUACUACGCAUGGAUGGACUGUGUGUACCUGUGCUCAACACUGCAUGUAUUAGGAACAUCAAUUCAUCACAAAUCAUCAUGAUUAUAAUUAUGCCCGCACAAAAUGGAUGUAUAAUAAAUAUAUAUAGGGAUUGGUCAUCACCCCACCAGUAAAAAUUGCGUGGUAUUAUUGUAUUGGCCAGGAAAAAAUGGAAAACUACAAGUACAUGUGAUUGACGUUGUAACGGAUUGGAGUUAUGCUCUCGUCGGAUUUCUUGUUUCCACGCUUUUUUGUGGUUCCCCUGGCCAAUCCUAGCAAUUUUUCACAUUGCAAAUGUUUUUCUAGUCGGAUGCAACAAGCACUUGCUUGGUGAAUCCACAGAUAUUGCUGAUAUCACUGCAUUAAAAAUUGCAUUGUGUAAUCCCAACAUUCAUUGAUUUCCAGUGUGCUGUAGUCAGGGGCGAUCCUAGGAUUCAGUCAAUGGGGGUGCUCAUUGCGCGCAAAGCGCGCCGAAAAAUUUAGACCACUCCCAUUUCCGGGGUCACGCCCCUUUUGUCGGCAACGCCCACUGUUUUCUAGAUGGUGCACAGCCACAGUACUGACAGUAUUUUACAGUGCCAUCAGCAAGUCAAGAAUGUUUACGACCAGCCAGAAGCUCAAUUCGCCUGGGAUGGCAAACUCUAGCCAACUCUUCUUAAGGCCACUAAAAGAUUGAUCAGCUUACCAGGAGGUGACAGGCAGCGUACAAAGUAUGACCACCAGUACGUACCUUGAUGUUGAGGAAAAGAGACUUUGUAGUUUACAUUGCAAACAUUGAUUAUUAUUAUAAUUU